AUUUUAAUUUCUUUUGAUAGAGAGAUGUUGAGGGUGCUUCUUUAUCUGGGUUUCGCCUGCCUCUCUUCUCCAUUUUAGGUUUAGGUUUAGGUUUAAGUUGAGAAGAACACAGUGUUUAUUUAAGUCAAAGAUAUUACCCACCGGGCCAUCACCACAGCAUUCAAAAUGAAAGAUGCUGCCUGAGAUGAUAUCUUGCAAGUUUUUAUCAAACCCAUGGAUCCAUUCAUUCUUGUUUUUGGGUAAGACUGUAUAUUAUGUUUCAUGUUUCAGGUUAAAAUUUACACAAGACUUUGGACUUUGUCUGUUAGAGAGGCAUGCAUAUCUUUGUUUUAAAUUAGGAUUCUUUGUUUUCUCAUGAUGUCAUAUACAAUAUCUGAUUUGGGA